GGAAGGAUCAUUAAAAUAAGUGAGGGCUUGUUUGAGAGGGAGCCUGGCUCCUGACCGGCAAGCAACUCGCCUGACUUGUUCAGGUACCCUUGCUUCGUUUUUCGAGUACCAUGUUGUUUCCUCGGCAGGCUUGCCUGCCAACGGGGACCCCAAAUCAAACUCUUGUAGUAGCAGUAUCAGUCUGAGAAAACUUAUAAUAAUCAAAACUUUCAACAACGGAUCUCUUGGUUCUGGCAUCGAUGAAGAACGCAGCGAAAUGCGAUAAGUAGUGUGAAUUGCAGAAUUCCGUGAAUCAUCGAAUCUUUGAACGCACAUUGCGCCCUUUGGUAUUCCAUAGGGCAUGCCUGUUCGAGCGUCAUUUCACCCUUCAAGCUCUGCUUGGUGUUGGGCGUCUGUUCCACCUCAGUGUGUGAACUCGCCUUAAAUUUAUUGGCAGCUAGUAUGUAGGCUUCGAGCGCAGCAGAAUUGCGUCCUUGAACCUGGCAAACUGGCCUCCAAAAGCACAUUUACCAUCUUGACCUCGGAUCAGGUAGGGAUACCCGCUGAACUUAAGCAUAUCAAUAAGCGGAGGAAAAGAAACCAACAGGGAUUGCCCUAGUAACGGCGAGUGAAGCGGCAACAGCUCAAAUUUGAAAUCUGGCCUCUUUGGGGUCCGAGUUGUAAUUUGCAGAGGGUGCUUUGGCGUUGGCUGUGGUCUAAGUUCCUUGGAACAGGACGUCACAGAGGGUGAGAAUCCCGUAUGUGGCCGCCAGCCUUCGCCGUGUAAAGCCCCUUCGACGAGUCGAGUUGUUUGGGAAUGCAGCUCUAAAUGGGAGGUAAAUUUCUUCUAAAGCUAAAUACUGGCCAGAGACCGAUAGCGCACAAGUAGAGUGAUCGAAAGAUGAAAAGCACUUUGGAAAGAGAGUCAAAAAGCACGUGAAAUUGUUGAAAGGGAAGCGCUUGCAGCCAGACUUGCCUGUAGUUGCUCACCUGGGCCUUGUGCCCAGGGCACUCUUCUAUAGGCAGGCCAGCAUCAGUUCGGGCGGUUGGAUAAAGGCCUCAGGCAUGUACCUCUUACGGGAGGACGUAUAGUCGAGGCGACAUGCAACCAGCUCGGAUUGAGGUCCGCGCAUUUGCUAGGAUGCUGGCGUAAUGGCUGUAAGCGGCCCGUCUUGAAACACGGACCAAGGAGUCUAACAUCUAUGCGAGUGUUUGGGUGUCAAGCCCGGACGCGUAAUGAAAGUGAACGGAGGUGGGAACCCUUUGGGGUGCACCAUCGACCGAUCCUGAUGUCUUCGGAUGGAUUUGAGUAAGAGCAUAGCUGUUGGGACCCGAAAGAUGGUGAACUAUGCCUGAAUAGGGUGAAGCCAGAGGAAACUCUGGUGGAGGCUCGCAGCGGUUCUGACGUGCAAAUCGAUCGUCAAAUUUGGGCAUAGGGGCGAAAGACUAAUCGAACUAUCUAGUAGCUGGUUCCUGC
rnacentral:misc_RNA from 2 species